GCAAAUUCUGCUUAUAGGUAAUAGCUGAAGAUCUAAACCCACGUUCUUUUUUCCUUCUCUCUCUGUGCAAAUGCAUGCACUUGCUUUUUUUAGUAUGCAUUGCAUGUGCAUUCUUAUGCCCCUUUUGAUUGGAUAAUUUUAAGCUACUCAGGAGUUUCUCCAUAUCAACUUAAAUCCAGGACAACAAUAAAUACUAGAACA
rnacentral:misc_RNA from 1 species